CCUACGGGAGGCAGCAGUGGGGAAUAUUGGGCAAUGGACGCAAGUCUGACCCCGCAACGCCGCGUGAAGGAAGAAGGCCCUCGGGUUGUAAACUUCUUUUAACAGGGACGAAGAAAGUGACGGUACCUGUUGAAUAAGCCACGGCUAACUACGUGCCAGCAGCCGCGGUAAUACGUAGGUGGCAAGCGUUAUCCGGAUUUACUGGGUGAAAAGGGCGUGUAGGCGGGAGAGCAAGUCAGACGUGAAAUUCCAGGGCUAAAACCUGGAACUGCGUUUGAAACUGUUCUUCUUGAGUGAUGGGGAGGCAGGCGGAAGUCCGGGGGUAGCGGUGAAAUGCGUAGAUAUACGAGGAACACCAGUGGCGAAGGCGGCCUGCUGGACAUUAACUGACGCUGAGGCGCGAAAGCGUGGGGAGCAAACAGGAUUAGAUACCCGAGUAGUC
rnacentral:rRNA from 1 species